rnacentral:piRNA from 1 species
UAGGUAGAACUGUGGUGGAGCUAGUUUGU